CAUUACCGAGUUUACAACUCCCAAACCCAUGUGAACAUACCUUUACGUUGCUUCGGCGGAGCCGCCCCGGCGCCCGGAACCUCUUCGGUUUCGCGGCCCGGAACCAGGCGCCCGCCGGAGGCCACAAACUCUUUUGUUUUUACAGUUUCUUCUGAGUGUGCCGCAAGGCAAACAUACAAAUGAAUCACAACAUGCAAGCAAUCCGUUCCCUGGG
rnacentral:rRNA from 1 species